rnacentral:misc_RNA from 1 species
AAAAGAGCGGCUAUUCAAUGUUUGAAGAGGAAGAAGCUAUAUGAACAGCAAAUAGAACAGCUUGGAAAUUUCCAACUGCGCAUUCAUGAUCAGAUGAUAAUGUUAGAAGGUGCAAAAGCCACUACAGAAACUGUAGAUGCAUUGAGAACUGGAGCAUCUGCAAUGAAGGCAAUGCAGAAGGCAACAAAUAUCGAUGAUGUGGACAAGACUAUGGAUGAGAUCAAUGAACAGACAGAGAAUAUGAAACA